UGAAUUUCGGGGUCAGAGGUUGGGUCAUGCCUCGGUAUGUACUGCUCCACUUGGUUCCAACUUCUUGAAGAACUGUAAUGUCAUUAAUUUGGUGUUGCAGGGAAACAGGACUGUUACUUUGAAAAAAUUAGAGUGUUUAAAGCAGGCUAACGCUUGAAUACAUUAGCAUGGAAUAAUGAAAUAGGACGUUUGAUCCUAUUUUGUUGGUUUCUAGGAUUGACGUAAUGAUUAAUAGGGAUAGUUGGGGGCAUUAGUAUUCAAUUGUCAGAGGUGAAAUUCUUGGAUUUAUUGAAGACUGACUACUGCGAAAGCAUUUGCCAAGGAUGUUUUCAUUAAUCAAGAACGAAAGUUAGGGGAUCGAAGACGAUCAGAUACC
rnacentral:rRNA from 1 species